UCAUUGAGCCAAACCACCCUGAAUGCACCUGAUCUCAUCUGAUCUCUGAAGCUAAGUCGGGCCUGGUUAGUGCUUGGAUGGGAGAAGGGGACCUUUGAGUCUGAGCUGAGAGAG
rnacentral:rRNA from 1 species